GAUGAAGAACGUAGUGAAAUGCGAUAAGUAGUGUGAAUUGCAGAAUUUAGUGAAUCAUCGAAUCUUUGAACGCACAUUGCGCCCUUUGGUAUUCCUUAGGGCAUGCCUGUUCGAGCGUCAUCUACACCCUCAAGCACAGCUUGGUGAUGGGCGCCUGUCCCGCCCCCCACGGGGGCGCGGACUCGCCUCAAAUGCAUUGGCGGCCGGCGACCUGGCUUCGAGCGCAGCAGAAACGCGUACUCGGGGACCGGGCGCCCGCUCCCAGAAGCCAACCCACCCAGUUUGACCUCGGAUCAGGUAGGGAUACCCGCUGAACUUAAGCAUAUCAAUAAGCGGAGGA
rnacentral:misc_RNA from 1 species